AUGCAGUCGAACGGAUCCUUCGGGAUUAGUGGCAGACGGGUGAGUAACGCGUGGGAAGCUACCUUGUGGUAGGGGACAACAGUUGGAAACGACUGCUAAUACCCUAUGAGCCCUAUGGGGGAAAGAUUUAUCGCCAUGAGAUGUGCCCGCGUUAGAUUAGCUAGUUGGUAAGGUAAUGGCUUACCAAGGCGACGAUCUAUAGCUGGUCUGAGAGGAUGAUCAGCCACACUGGGACUGAGACACGGCCCAGACUCCUACGGGAGGCAGCAGUGGGGAAUAUUGGACAAUGGGGGCAACCCUGAUCCAGCCAUGCCGCGUGUGUGAUGACGGCCUUAGGGUUGUAAAGCACUUUCAGCAGUGAAGAUAAUGACAUUAACUGCAGAAGAAGCCCCGGCUAACUUCGUGCCAGCAGCCGCGGUAAUACGAAGGGGGCUAGCGUUGUUCGGAAUCACUGGGCGUAAAGAGUACGUAGGCGGACUGAUAAGUUAGGGGUGAAAUCCCAAGGCUCAACCUUGGAACUGCCUUUGAUACUGUCAGUCUUGAGAUCGAGAGAGGUGAGUGGAACUCCGAGUG
rnacentral:rRNA from 1 species